AGAGUUUGAUCAUGGCUCAGAUUGAACGCUGGCGGCAGGCCUAACACAUGCAAGUCGAACGGUAGCACAGAGAGCUUGCUCUCGGGUGACGAGUGGCGGACGGGUGAGUAAUGUCUGGGAAACUGCCUGAUGGAGGGGGAUAACUACUGGAAACGGUGGCUAAUACCGCAUAACGUCGCAAGACCAAAGAGGGGGACCUUCGGGCCUCUUGCCAUCAGAUGUGCCCAGAUGGGAUUAGCUUGUUGGUGAGGUAACGGCUCACCAAGGCGACGAUCCCUAGCUGGUCUGAGAGGAUGACCAGCCACACUGGAACUGAGACACGGUCCAGACUCCUACGGGAGGCAGCAGUGGGGAAUAUUGCACAAUGGGCGCAAGCCUGAUGCAGCCAUGCCGCGUGUAUGAAGAAGGCCUUCGGGUUGUAAAGUACUUUCAGCGGGGAGGAAGGUGUUGUGGUUAAUAACCRCAGCAAUUGACGUUACCCGCAGAAGAAGCACCGGCUAACUCCGUGCCAGCAGCCGCGGUAAUACGGAGGGUGCAAGCGUUAAUCGGAAUUACUGGGCGUAAAGCGCACGCAGGCGGUCUGUCAAGUCGGAUGUGAAAUCCCCGGGCUCAACCUGGGAACUGCAUUCGAAACUGGCAGGCUUGAGUCUUGUAGAGGGGGGUAGAAUUCCAGGUGUAGCGGUGAAAUGCGUAGAGAUCUGGAGGAAUACCGGUGGCGAAGGCGGCCCCCUGGACAAAGACUGACGCUCAGGUGCGAAAGCGUGGGGAGCAAACAGGAUUAGAUACCCUGGUAGUCCACGCCGUAAACGAUGUCUACUUGGAGGUUGUGCCCUUGAGGCGUGGCUUCCGGAGCUAACGCGUUAAGUAGACCGCCUGGGGAGUACGGCCGCAAGGUUAAAACUCAAAUGAAUUGACGGGGGCCCGCACAAGCGGUGGAGCAUGUGGUUUAAUUCGAUGCAACGCGAAGAACCUUACCUGGUCUUGACAUCCACAGAAGAAUCCAGAGAUGGAUUUGUGCCUUCGGGAACUGUGAGACAGGUGCUGCAUGGCUGUCGUCAGCUCGUGUUGUGAAAUGUUGGGUUAAGUCCCGCAACGAGCGCAACCCUUAUCCUUUGUUGCCAGCGGU
rnacentral:rRNA from 1 species